rnacentral:rRNA from 1 species
CCUACGGGAGGCAGCAGUGAGGAAUAUUGGUCAAUGGACGAGAGCCUGAACCAGCCAAGCCGCGUGAAGGAUGACUGCCCUCUGGGUUGUAAACUUCUUUUGUAUGGGAAUAUAAUUUUCCACUUGUGGGAUUGGGUAUUUACCAUAUGAAUAAAGAUCGGCUAACUCCGUGCCAGCAGCCGCGGUAAUACGGAGGAUCCGAGCGUUACCUGGAUUUAUUGGGUUUAAAGGGAGCGUAGGUGGAUUGUUAAGUCAGUUGUGAAAGUUUGCGGCUCAACCGUACAAUUGCAGUUGAAACUGGCAGUCUUGAGUCCAGGAGAGGUGGGCGGAAUGCGUGGUGUAGCGGUGAAAUGCUUAGAGAUCACGAAGAACACCGAUUGCGAAGGCAGCUCACUGGACUGAGACUGACACUGAGGCUCGAAAGUGUGGGUAUCAAACAGGAUUAGAUACCCCAGUAGUC